CCCAAAAGUCUAAUCUAAGUUCAAGAGUUCAAGUUCGGAGUUCAGUGCUUUCAAAAUCCAUCUCUUUGCUUGAAUCAAGUUCGCAAAAGUUUUGAGUACGACCCGAUUUGUGGAUUUUCUUUUGCUUGCUAAACUAAGACGCAUGUUUCUGGUAAUCAGGGAUAAUAUAAUAUGGGGAAUCAGUAAUGAGAGAUUAAUGGAUGUUCAAGAGUAUUUAAAGACUCUUUAUUUUGUUAAAUCAUGUACUUUUGAAUGA
rnacentral:lncRNA from 1 species